CGGGCAGUCUUGGGGCGCUGGACCAGGAAGCCCAUGAUCUGCACCUGCUUCUGGUUGUCGAAGGCCACCAGGCGCACGUAGGCAUCGGGGAAGGCCUUGGUGCAGGCGACGAUCUCGCGCAGCACCUGCAUGGGGUCGCGGCAGCCGAACAUGGGCAGCUUCCACAUGGUCCAGUAGCGGUUGUCGUAGUACAGCUGCGGGCGCACGGGAAAUGGGAGGGAGAAGAGGUUCAGUCACCAGCGCACAGAACCACCAAAGAUGGAAUUGGGCCCCUUGCUUUUCCGUGCUGAAGCACGAGCAGGGGUAUGCGUCAGUUCCCCGCGGUGAGAUAGGCGCUGUCCCGGUGCCAAGCUAACCCAGUGCCACAGUGGACCCGUCUGGCUCUCGCUCCGACUUACGCAAGACACGCUGCCGAAGCGGAUGGCCGACUCGUUGGACACGUAGGCCUUGUCGGCCUCAGCGAACUCCAGGCAGGGGAUCCAGCCUGCAAGCGACAGCACGAAGGGGGUAAGAUAAGUGGCCGACGCAAGCAGUCCAGGGCUAUCCCAGAUAAGGGCGGAUGACAGGCAAACUAUACAGCAGACAACGAACAAGCUAAUCUCAAGCUUCGAGCGAUCGUAAUGUCGCAGUCUGCAGCUACGCCCUAGAUCGUAUUAACUAGCUCUCAAACACAGCCCAGCUACAUAUGCCCACGGCACCAAGCCGUGCUCACCGUUGGCGACGAUGUAGUCGACCUGGGCGGCGAUCUGCUCGUCGGUCAGAGGAGGCAGGUAGGAGAAGGUCUCGAACAUCCUGCGAUCACGCGAUUGACCAGUACUCGUUAGAAGUGGCAGAGCACGUGCGAUGUGAGGCAGCAGGCUGGGCCCCAAGCAAUUGCGUCGCGACUUGCAGAAUCCCUAUCCUUCGGGCUGCGCUUGCUCGUCGACUCACUUGUUGUUGACCGGGGUCCAGACCAUCAUCUGGUUGGCCUGAGCCGGGGCAGCCACGGGGGCAGCCUUGACGGCGGGCUUCAGCGCGGCCAUGGGGCGCACGCUGGAGCGGGCCGGGCGAGCCACGGCCGCGGAGACGGAGGACUUGGCAAUGACGGCGGCCAUUUUAGAUGUUUGAGAAAGUGGUCGAAUGAACGAGUAAGUUCUUGGGACAAAGACUCGGAGGUGGCCGGUCGCCGUUUUCAAUCCCCGCUCGCCGAUGACCCGUACGGCAGGCUUAUCCGACUCGUCGGCUUUCACGACCGCCCGAGCCUGCGCGCUUCAUCCGCUUCCGGAUAGCUUGCUACGAUAAUGCAUUAUUCAAUUUUACGACGCAAUGUCAUGAGCAGCGCCGGGCGGGCUUAUUUACAUGCGUCGCCUCGCUCGCCGUUGACUUGAUACUUUGGAAAUUCGGGCUCGAUUCGUUGCUACAGCCUGCCUUUUGCACACAAUGUGAACGUCGAUUCUACAUUUGUAUGUGACUGAACUUCGCGGCCCCUACUGAACGUUUCGUGCAAGCGACAUGUCGACUCACAACUUGGAGGAACGCGCGAGGGGUCCCCACACGCACUUUCAGCCUGCUUUGGCGAAAUGGACAUGAUAGGUAUAGCCAGGAUAUGGGUCUGCUAGCUCGCCUGGUGUUUUGACCGUCGAUCGGUUUCGCGUUGGGCCUUGCGGCUGCUCGCUCGCCGCGGAUGCUUCCGCACACUGCGCGGCACGUGUUAGUCUGUGCACGACGACGGUUUGUUUGUAUUGCGCCGCCAACGUUCAACGGUGGUGGUAGGUUCGAAUGUCAGAAUGUCGGGCACGGGGACCUUGGGCGCAUUGCCUACAAGCGCGUGCCUGUGUUUUUGGGGGGCAGAGAAGUGAGCCUGCCUAUUGGGUCACAAUAGCACAGAGGCGGGUGGCCAGCGUCGGGAACUGGUUCAGAACGGCUGCAGGGACAGCACCGUGCGUGCGUGUGUGUGUGGGGGGAGCCUUCAAAGUUGACGAGCUUCGCAGCGCUGGGAUGGACUGGCAUUGCGUGCUUGAGUUUGCGUCCCGUGAGAACCCUGCAGUUUAUGGCGGAGACAGGGAAGAGGGAAUGGGAUCGCGCCGGUGCAGGGAAAGGGCACGAAUCUGAGGUUACGGUAUCUGGGGGGAGGUGCCCAUGUGGGAGGGGAAGCCUAACUGCCUGUCUGGGUGCAGACCAGGAAUGGCAACACGUGAACGGUUAGUAGAGAGCUGUGUGCUGUUGGGCGCUCUCGGCAAGGGGCGUGGGAGGGGGCUGGGUUGGUGGGCGGCUGUCCGCACAGUGCCUAGCAGUGCGCACUCAGGCCCUUCGCAGACCGAAGAGGGCGCCAGGGCCUAUGCGCGCGUGGCUUGGCGUGAGGUUCUUGCUGUUGGCGUCAGGCGCCGCAAAAGGCCGGGUGGCUCUGCAGUGUCCUGCUCGCUUGGCGUGCGGCAAAGUGGUUCAGUCAGCGAGCGCAGUGUAUGCGUGUGUGCGUGUAUGCGUGUGCGUGCGUGUGUGUGUGUGUGUGUGUGUGUGUGUGUGUGUGUGUGUGGUUGCUGCGGAGAGGGCACGCAGCGACACGAGAUUGCCAUGCAGUGGUGCAAGCUGCUGGGGUCGGGUAAACGGGGUGGGAAAGUUGGUGAUGGUGGAAUGUUCUUGUGGCACGAACUGGCCUUGUGCGUAUUCGUUCGCCCCGUUCACUCUGGUCCACCAAUCCCACAGUCACUGCACUUAAAUGCCUAAAAGCCCCUGCUACGGUGCGGACAGGGUAAGGCCACGGCAGGUCUAAGUCCAUAUGCGCCCGUAGAGGUUCGAGUGCGUUAACCGGUCGCAAGGUGUUCACAACAUGUUGAUGUGUUGACAACAUGGCUGUGGUCAAGACGUGCCCUGCGAACUUCCCGUGUUUACAUGUUAAUAGAGCUCGCUGACAGCAGUCAUUUGACACCAUUAUGGAAGAAAACAGAGGGGAUUUAGGGGGUGUACGGCACGGUAUGGCACGGUCGGUCGUCGGUCCGGGGGGUCGGGGGGUUCUGCAGGGUGGGGCCUGGAACUAUUGUUCGUACACCCCCGCCUGGCUCCCCUGCUCCCCCUGACUAACCCCUGACCUCUGGCUUUCUUCGCUUUCCUUUCAGUGUCACCAAUUCUCAUGAGUGGGGGCGCACCCCGAAAUAAGCGGGUACGGUGCUUCAGUUCAGUGCUUGCCACGGCCUCAAGAGCCCCAAACCACGUGCACCGAAAUUCGCUUGCACUCCAAAUGCACUGGGAAGCCAGUAGCAGCGCGCUCUCAAAUGCUGGCAUGUGUCUCUCUCUGUCCAGAGCCUGAAUGCGCCAAGUCUGCUACGGUAGGAGGGUGCAACCCGUGGCCCGCCUUGAACCGCGCUUGCACACACAGCUGGAUUGCUGCUGGCAUGACCGUGUGAAAGAGGUACAGGCAGCCGGGCAAGUCCCAGCGGGCAGGUUGGUGUAGGCUAUGCCCCAUAACAGGCCCGUGCAUGCUGCCACGGACUUCUCGCCAGGAAUGUAAGUCCCGAUGCUAGACAAUUACUCCAGCAGCUGCAUGCCGCCAUCUUCAGUACUCGGUAUCCCUUGGUGCACGCAAGUCAAGGAUCAGUCCCAGGGCUCACCCUGGAGCAAUGCAGCCUGCGUGUGCACCUGCGAUGGAGCCGCGGCCUGCGGUAUUGGCUGCCCGAUUACGAAGCUGCGGGUGGGGGCAGUUGGCACGCAUUCCGCCACAGACCCCGCGAGCCUAGCCGCACCCAAGCUCUAAGCGGCCUAGACCGUGACCAAAGGCGAAGAAGCCGCGGCCAUCCCUGCGCUCAGAUUGCAUUGGUUACAAGAGGGACCUGCUGACGCAGUUCAUGGCUUCAUGCGCUCAGAGCCCGAGCCCUGAGCGGCAGCAAAAGCAGAAGCCACGCUACGUGUGCUAGCUACGACCAAUGCCUUGUACAGCUCUCCUCGGCUGCGCUCUUCGGCUGCGCUCCUCGGCUGCGCGGGACAGGGGACUCCGUGCAACCACUAUUGCUUAUAGCCUGCACCAGUCAUUGACGAGUGUUGCGGAACUAAUGCGUACGUAGACCAGAGCGGAAGGCGGAGUGGGCUUGCAGGCGGCACGAGAGUAGGCAGUCAGUAGCGCAAGUUGCGAAUUCCCAUGUUACCUCGUAACCGACGGUAAACGCUGUGGACGGUCGCGCCCAUGGCUGGCUGACGGAAGCUGGCUGCGGUAUUGGGAUGGCUGGGCUGGAUGACGCCGGCCGGGCUGGCGUUGGGACUACCAGAAAGGAUGCGCCCGAAACCAACCUGGAGAACACCAGCGCCACCGGUGCCCAGCACGACAUGUAAGGGAGGGAGGGAGGGACAGGAGGCGUGAUGCACUGCAGCGUAGAAGCUGCAGUCAUGGGCACAGCUUGUACCAUACAGCACGGUCAUCAAGGACACAAUGCCGGAACGGCAUCAUACGAGGCGGGGUUGGGAGCUGCAGGAAGUGGGCAGCGGGGCAGAAUCAAAGGUUUGCAUCGUUUAGAACAGGUGCGGAACACGCGCCAGCGCCAGCGCGGAGGACCCCAAGUAAGGCCUUUACUCACCAAUGUACGUUUUGUACACCCAAUCUCGCCCCCUAUCGACGUUGGCACUAGGUAGCUGGCUAUCAUUCUAUGCAGAUUAAGCAAAGGGGCACCGGGAACAACUGACUCAUGUUCGUCACUGCAGGUUACUGCAAAUGCUGUCUCCACCUUUGCUGCACGGUUCCGUUUCGUCACGUUUGCUGGUGUUGCUACCCGCCGUUCUUUAGUGUGUAACUGAUCUGCGAACCGAGUCCCCUUCAGCUGAUGAACCCCGCAGCAACUUUUCCAAAAGCGCUUCAAAUACGCCCAGCCCGCCCAUGGAGAAAGAGGCCAAAAUCAACGGAGGAUCGUUACAACCAACAAAAUUGCAAAACUCCUCCGCUUUUUACGUGUUGAAAAAGACUGAUCAGCACGAAACGGGGAGCUAAGCUACCGCUUCAGCACUUGAGAGCAGUAUCUUCCAUCCACCGCCGUUCGUCAGGGGGCAAGGCUCAGAUCAACGAGCGCCUCCAUUUACACGGAGCGCUUGUUGGCGGGCUGCCAGUCGCGGGCAGACUUGGGGCGCUGGACCAGGAAGCCCAUGAUCUGCACCUGCUUCUGGUUGUCGAAGGCCACCAGGCGCACGUAGGCAUCGGGGAAGGCCUUGGUGCAGGCGACGAUCUCGCGCAGCACCUGCAUGGGGUCGCGGCAGCCGAACAUGGGCAGCUUCCACAUGGUCCAGUAGCGGUUGUCGUAGUACAGCUGCGGGCGCACGGGAAAUGGGAGGGAGAAGAGGUUCAGUCACCAGCGCACAGAACCACCAAAGAUGGAAUUGGGCCCCUUGCUUUUCCGUGCUGAAGCACGAGCAGGGGUAUGCGUCAGUUCCCCGCGGUGAGAUAGGCGCUGUCCCGGUGCCAAGCUAACCAGUGCCACAGUGGACCCGUGUGCCAAAAGCUAACCCAGUGCCACAGUGGACCCGUCGGGCUCUCGCCAGACUUACGCAAGACACGCUGCCGAAGCGGAUGGCCGACUCGUUGGACACGUAGGCCUUGUCCGACUCAGCGAACUCCAGGCAGGGGAUCCAGCCUGCAAGCAAGGGGAUGAAGGGUGCCGCGAAGGGUGAACGAGGGACAAAGACACGGACAGGAACCGGAUAAGGGGCGGCUUGACCAAGAACUCACGCUCCGACCGCUACUUCGGCAACCCAAAUAAGUGAUUCCACGCUAUGGCUCUGUCGCUGUCGUAUAGCCCGGCUGGUAGCAGCUGGAAAGCUCAAGUGAGGCUGGACAAGCCGCGCUGGCAUGAGUGCAAGCUGUUUGCCCAAGAAAAAGCCGCCGAAAGCCCAGGCUGACUGCAGAUUCCUGACUUGGGCACUGUUCGUUGCUGGAGUGUUGCUCGCAACCCCGCAAGCUCACCGUUGGCGACAAUGUAGUCGACCUGGGCGGCGAUCUGCUCGUCGCUCAGGGGGGGCAGGUAGGAGAAGGUCUCGAACAUCCUGCAAAUGGAAACGGCGACGCAGGGUUAGAUGCUGCUUGAGACAGCGACAGAGGAGCCAAAAGCCUUCGUCGACACAAUGCGGGCGUUGCAAGUCAAAUCUGCAAGCACGCUGCCUGAUCCGCCGGGCUUGCUCGUCGACUCACUUGUUGUUGACCGGGGUCCAGACCAUCAUCUGGUUGGCCUGAGCCGGGGCAGCCACGGGGGCGGCCUUGACGGCGGGCUUCAGCGCGGCCAUGGGGCGCACGCUGGAGCGGGCCGGGCGGGCCACGGCCGCGGAGACGGAGGACUUGGCAAUGACGGCGGCCAUUUUAAGAUGUUGAGUGACUUCUCUUGUAAAAAAGUAAAGAACAUAGGCCCCCUGGCCGGUUUAUCAGGAGGGCACCGCUCCAGGGGCUGCAUGCGAACUGCUUGCAUUGGCGCCUAGCCUUUGUGGGCCAGGGGGCUUCCGGAUAAGGGUUGCAAGUGCUCAAAUACCCCAUCAAACAUCAUCCUGGUUUGGCUGCGCUCCUUCUGGCGCGCCCGGGAAGCCGGGCUUGCACGCAGAGUGAGGAUGCGGCACGGGUGCACGCGCACGAUAGUCACUUUGCAUUCUCAGGACGUUCGCGACGCUAUUAAGGCUGGGUUUUAUCAAAACUAACGAGCUCGGCCACGCGGGCGAGUUCAAACCGUGGCGUGACACAACUAAUAUACGCCCCCGUCGCGGCGGCCCCGGCUGGCGCGCAAAGCAUGCCAAUUACCUUCAUCUGUCACGAAGUAUCAUAGGACGGCAGGCGGGGCAUCUGGGCCGCUCUCGCGGUGUUGCUAGGAAACAGACAAUGUUCCUGCCGUUUGUCCAGUUUUUCGUCGUUUCUGGCGCCGUGUCGCCUCUAAGAGGUAUGUGGAAGAGUUUUACCUGGCUCGCGUCGAAUGUAUAGACCCGUGCGCCGGCGCAUGCGGCGAUCCGGGUUGUGCCGACGGUCGCGGCUUGCUUGACGUGGGCUGCGUAGUUCACCACUCCCCUGGGGCACUGGGUUCAUCAUCAUUUGUACACACUGAGACAGUGCGGUACUACCAUCGUGCAGGGGACUCCGAAGUUCGGUCCACCAAUCCACCAAUGGCGCUAGGACGGGACUUGACGGGAUCGGCGUAGGACGGUGGAACGGGUGCGGUUUGCGUAAUGCAUCAGGGGGGGUCGUGACAGAGGCACGAGAGCUCCCGUCAUGCAGAACGCCGUGGAGAGCCGCUGAGGGGUUUGGAAAGGUGAAAGGGGGGGUCCUAACGGGUCCUAUGACUCGCGGUGGGUUUCUUGCAAUCAUGUCAGGUAAGCGUCGGACCCCUGCAUAAUGCAAAUUACUUUGCGUCUGUUAUACCUAAGGCAGCAAUGCACGGUGGCGGUGGGUGGUGAUCCCUUGGUCGUUCAGACUUCCGACUGCACCCUACAAAAGGACUGAACGCACAGGGAUUGGAUCCUAGGGGUGACCGCACAGGGACCUGGACCCCGCCUACCGGCGCGCGCUGGUGCUGCGUGAGCUGCUGGGCUACCCCGCCGACGUCCCGUGCCGAAGCGGCCCACCUGUACCCACCGCCGCCGGGGAAGUGACAUGGGUUAGCAACCCGGCCUAUCCACUUUGGGUCGGGGCAGCGGCGGGGCAGGGCGGGGCAGGGUGCCGACGUGCUGUGACCUGCGGGACGGCGUGUCACAAAGCGUGUGCGAGAACGGCAAGGGAAGGGGCGAACCCAGGCGCGGCCUGGACGCGUAGACAGAACUGCAGGUGCAGGCGGGCGCUUGGCGGCACCCCAGGGGGACACACGUCAUGACGUCACGACCUGCACCCAACGCGUACGCGUCCCUCCAAUGCUAGGCCGCGCCGGCGCGAGUGUCGCCCUACUGUCACCGUGUGGGACGUGGCCGUGCAACAAUGUCUCUGCGUCUCGCCACGAGCAAGUGUUCACACAUUGCGCUUCAGUGCCUUGCCAGCCCGAGCACCCGCAGUACCCAAUGCCGCCGUGUCCCGACUCCACGAUGGGGGCCAGGACAGUCUGGCCUGACCAGGCGUGCUGCCUCUCCUACCGUAGCCUACCCCGGCGCGGCGGCCGUGCUGACCAUGGGUCCCACACUACCAACUCCAUGCCGACUCGGAUGUGAACGCUAGCUGGUGUUCGGGUGCGAAUGUGCAAUUGUGCGCAGCGCCCUGCAUCCCCCGCGGCACGGGCCCCCGUGUCAGGGCCCCGCCGCCCGGUGACGUACAGAAGGCAGGGCAGAGGUCCGGGCAUGUGGGCUUCUAGGAACUUCGAAACACCACCGCUGGUCACCUUCCUGCAGAUGCGCUGCGGCUCUGCAUCGCGAGUGUGGCGUUGCGGUGUGUCUGUGUGGUGCUAUCGCCUGGCGCCGGAGCGUGAGGAAUGCGCGUCAGCAAACUUCCAGCCAGCCAGCAACUUGUCGGUACUGUAAGAGCAUCCGUCAGCAAAAGUAACUCUGGCGUUCGACCAGCCGCGCACUCCUGCCCUGCCGUUGCAAAUUGUUUGCCAUCUGCUGGGAAUCAGCUGCAUCCUACGGGACUUCACCAACCUGCCUUAACACUGUCCCAUCGCACACCCCGACCAUGCCAUGUUGACGUUCCACCCAUGCGUUACACCGUACUUGUACAGUACGGUAUGAGGGCACGCUCUGGAUAAGCUCCUUGACCCGGCAGCCGACAAGACCAUGUGACACUUUGCAUGGACUCCACAUUUCUGCUGACGGCUUCUGCCUGUGCCACGGGAGGGGCCACAUUCGAAUGUAUUCUAGCGUCCUUUGCGCUUCAUGAUCACGCACCAUACAUGACCGUGCCGAACCGUUAUCCGCAAGCCGCCAAAAAGGAAGUCGCCUUGGGAUUAUGAAUGCGACAUUACAAGAAGGCACAGUCCGUCCAAGCAUGGGUGCCCAGCCCAGCGUGCCAGCCCAGGGAUUAUGCCUUUUCUUCUCUCAGUUUGCAUCAAGGACCCAAUCACGCUGACGCAUCCUGACGCAUUCACCGCCGGAACGCUCCCAGCAGGUUAAACGCGCGCUCCUUCUUGGAAGCGGUCUCCUGCUCCGGCUCCACCUCCUCCUCGGGCUCCUCCUGCACCUCCUCCACCGGCUGCUGCUUGCGGCCCAGCAGACCGCCGAACAACUGCUGCUUGGCGCCGUUUCCGUUUCCGUUGGUAUUUCCGUUUCCGUUUCCGUUGGCGGCCUUGGCGGGCGCGGCCUUUCCGUUACCGUUACCGUUGGCCCUGCCGUUGGAAGCGCUGCCCCUUUGACGGCGGGCUUCAGCGCGGCCAUGGGGCGCACGCUGGAGCGGGCCGGGCGGGCCACGGCCGCGGAGACGGAGGACUUGGCAAUGACGGCGGCCAUUUUAAGAUGUUGAGUGACUUCUCUUGUAAAAAAGUAAAGAACGUAGGCCCCCUGGCCGGUUUAUCAGGAGGGCACCGCUCCAGGGGCUGCAUGCGAACUGCUUGCAUUGGCGCCUAGCCUUUGUGGGCCAGGAGGCUUCCGGAUAAGGGUUGCAAGUGCUCAAAUACCCCAUUAAACAUCAUCCUGGUUUGGCUGCGCUCCUUCUGGCGCGCCCGGGAAGCCGGGCUUGCACGCAGAGCGAGGAUGCGGCACCGGUGCACACGCACGAUAGUCACUUCGCAUUCUCAGGACACCUGCGACGGGUGCGGUUUGCGUAUUGCGUCAGUGGGGGGUCGUGACAGAGGCGCGAGAGGUCCUGUCAUGGCAGAACGCCAUGGAGAGCGGCUGAGAUGGUUCAGGAAGAAGACAAGGGGUGUCAGCUUUGUACAGCUGGAAAAUGGGCUGAGCCCCAUGUAGCGCAAGGGGAUGUGACGAUGGGCACCGGCGACAUGAACAGCACCCUUGCAAGCCCAUCCAGCGGGACUGGCCACUAUGCCAACGCCGUGCCGAGGCACCGACAUGCCCUGUCCCCGCCACGCCACGCCACCUUACCCACGCCACUUCACGGUCCAUGAUAUCCCAAAUGCAUCUCACCCACAUCCCACUCAAGCACCGCAAACGGCUAGCCGGGCUCGGGCGCGGGAUCCCGGGCCGCGACACAUGUAAGGCUCGGGGACGCAUGGUUUGGCUGUUGCAAACAAUUUCGACAUUCUUGCCCCAAGACGCUUGUCGUCGACAUGUUUUGAUACAUGGAUGUAAGAUAUUUAGGGGCCGAGAGCUAUACUCGUGAACUGAAGAAAGUCAAGAUGUCCAUGGACUCACGAGGUCGCUUCUCGCUCCGGCCGAGUUUUCCCUGCCGUCUAUUUUUCUACAAUAGGUAAUUGCAAUUAAUAAUACGUGGCCCGCGUUUGUGCCAGUAUGGUACUUUUUGUCGACACAGGCACACACGCACGCACGGACAGGGGCAAUCCUGGGGGGCUUCGCCCCCCCUGGAUCGCUUCGCUCAGGGGGCUCAGCCCAAAAAGGCAGUCCUAUGAGCAGCGGUGGGUUGUCUCUGCCUGCAAUCGUGUCCGUCUCGCGUCGGACCCCUGCAUAAUGAAAGUACUCUGCGCCUGUUAUACCUGGGGCAUUCAUGUGCGGUGGCAGUGGGUGGUGAAAGGUGAGGCUGGAGCUAGCGCUGCUUUGCCCCUUGGUGAUCCCUUUGUGGUGUGAACUUCCAACUGCACCAAACCAAAGGACUGAACGCACAGGAAUCGGAUCCUAGGCGUGACCAAAGUGGAGAGGGCGGGUUGCUAACGCAUGCCACUCCCCCGGCAGCGGUGGUUACAGGUGGGCCGCUUCGGCACGGGUCGGCACGGGUCAGGGCACGAGCAAUUGUUCACACAUUGCGCUUCAGUGCCUUGCCAGCCCGAGCACCCGCAGUACCCAAUGCCGCCGUGUCCCGACUCCGCGAUGGGGGCCAGGACAGUCUGGCUUGACCAGGCGUGCUGCCUCUCCUACCGUAGCCUACCCCGGCGCGGCGGCCGUGCUGACGACCACAACUGCCCUGACCAUGGUCCCACACUUCCACUCCAUGCCGACUCUGACGUGGACGCUGGUGUUCGGGUGCGAAUGUGCAAUUGUGCGCAGCGCCCUGCAUCCCCCGCGGCACGUACGGACCCCCGUGUCAGGGCGCCGCCGCCCGGUGACGUACAGAAGCCAGGGCAGAGGUUCCGGGCUGCCGGGCCCGGACCAGGCUUGCGGGCGGUCAGAACCUUCAGAGCACCACGUGUAUGCCAAAUGCCUGCACAUUGCGCGUAAUUGCCCGUCAAGUGUUUUGCUACCUGCCUGCCUCUUGCUUUGCCUGGGUCCACCCACCCCGCAUAGCACGCAUGACCCAUGCCGCAUGCAGUACGACCGGGAUGAGCCAUGCAGCCACUGCGCUGUCUCUAUCUGUCCGGCCGCCCGGCGCGCGGAGUUGUCUGCCUUUCUUUUUGGCGUAGUGUUUACAUCAGCUUCCCCUACGCCGCCUUAGGUCACCUCGUGCAACUCGGCCCGCCUUGCAGCCAGCAGCCGCGCUCCCGCGCGCUCCGAGCUGCAUUUGUCUACUGCCACUGUUGCCUCCCCGCUUCCUGCCGCUGUUGGUUCCGCCCUCUCUUCCUCACUCCGUUCCUUCCACACAUAUGCUGCUGGGCGCCAGUGGCGCUGGUGUCUCCCGGUUGGUUUCGGACAGCUCGUAUUCUGGCGUCUCCGGCGCCUUCAUUCGCGGCCGCUCCUGAUCCAGGCUCGCCAUGCCAUGCGUUACACCGUACUGUAUGCCUGUGAGUGCUCGCCCUCGUAUCACGGAAUGCUCUCUUGGGAUGCGCUCUCCCUUCUUUGUGUGUCCGUCCAUGCAGCCAGUAAAAUCAUUGGGCUCAGGGCUGGGCCAAAGCAGUACAGUUGCGCCAGCCCCGCCACUCGCCAUCAGAGUCUCUGUUUCUUCCUGAUGCGCCCAUGCUCAAUUGCUCAUAUGCUGCCGGGUUGGCAACUGUGCACGAAGUACGCAAGCUUUGUACAGGGCUCCCUCCGUUCCUAACGAGCGUCAUGAGAACUGGCCUGCAUCCAUACCUCCAUGAUAUUUAUCCCAGUUGGCUCCUGUAAACUCACUCGUGGCCGCAUUCAAAAUGCGCAGAUCCCAACUAUCAAACACCAAGGAACCCCUCUACCUAAAGGCGUGCGCCACAAUCCGCCGGGAACCUCGUGCCACUCUUUUAUAUGCGUCCCCACUCCCUCUGUCUGUGCCUUGUGAACCUGCCCAGUUCAAUUGCCGCACUUGGCAUGCCGCAGUCCUCAUUGUGUACUGUGCCCUUGAAACUUCGCCGCUGCUUGACAGGCGCGCGGCAUUCGCUUUGCCCUGGCCCGUACCACACUCUGCCGUACCUAGUCGGCCGCAGUCGGCGGGAUCUGCGCAUAGAUGGCGUAUCUAUCCGAUCGCAAUGGAGCUCUUCAUGUUGCACAACGUUAUCUUCACAAUUGCGCAAGGCUUACGGACAAGGUCCCCCUUAUGCCUCAUCAGCAGCAUGCGCCAGCACGCCUGGUGCCAUACCCAUCCAUCAGGCUACAGCGCCAAAGAAAUACCACGCAAGUGUGAAACCAACAAACACUUUUGACUUGCUUCAUAAACAAAGCUCAAUGCUUGCCGCAGCGGCGGCGUGAUCCCCACAGGUCAACCCAGCGCUCCAUCCUGCGACCGCCUACUCAUGUGCCUACUUCCAGCCCCCUCCGGAACUUACGGGCACCUCACGGGCACCUAGACGUCAGCCAACCCGCCUGCUUUGAAAGCUGUAGCCUGAAACAACCACAUUGUAGCAUUCUCAUAGGAAGCUUGAGGGGCUGGCGCUACAGUAUGAGGGCGCCGCACGCUCUGGAUAAGCUUCCGUGACCCGUCAGUCGACAUUACCAUGCGACACUUUGCAUGGACUAAAUAUUUCUGCUGACGGCUUCUGCUGCACACUCAAAAUGUAUUCUGACGUCAUAUGCGCAUCAUGAUCACGCACCACACACGACCGUGCCGCACCGUUAUUCGCAAAGCCGCGAAAAAAGAAGUCGCUUUUGGAGUUAUGCUUUUUCUUCUCUCAGUUUGCAUUGAGGUCCGAUCGCGCUGAUGCAUUUACCGCCGAAAGACUCCCAGCAGGUUAAACGCGCGCUCCUUCUUGGAAGCGGUCUCCUGCUCCGGCUCCACCUCCUCCUCGGGCUCCUCCUGCACCUCCUCCACCGGCUGCUGCUUGCGGCCCAGCAGACCGCCGAACAACUGCUGCUUGGCACCGUUUCCGUUUCCGUUGGUGUUUCCAUUACCGCUUCCGUUUCCGUUGGCAGCCUUGGCGGGCGCGGCCUUUCCGUUACCGUUGCCGUUGGCCCUGCCGUUGGAGCCGCCGCCAGAGGCUGGCUUCUUCACCCCGAGGAUGUUGGGCACCUGCAGGGCAGGCCGCACAGAUGGUGCGGGGCAGAGAGGCACAGCGGCGGCACCGUGUGAGUUGGCUGCUUGAGGGGCUGAUAUGGAUACUGCUGUAUGACCGGCCCCUGAGCGACCCCCGCUGCCGCGAGCACGACCUUUGGCACUCAUAUGAUUCUAUCGACCUAACGCGGCGACGCCCACCGGUUGCAUCGCUCGAGGACACCGUCGCGACUGGCUAGCGGGCUAGCUGGCACUGGCUGAAUCGCUGGCUGCUGAAUCGCUGGCUGAUUGGCGCACGCACACACACACACACACACACACACACACACACACACACACACACACACACACACACACACACAGAGAGAGACACACACAUAGACAGACACACACACAGACACACACUGACACACACUGACACACACUGACACGCACGCACACACACACGCACACACACACACACACUCAUGCUCAAGCUGGGCACGAGCUCUGCAACGCACUUCGCUGCGCCGGCGCCUGCUCCGCCCUCUCGCCCGAGCACGCGCCCACACCAGCCACUCCACCCGCCGCCGCCACGACCACCCGCCCGCCGCCGCCCAGCGCCCGCCUGCUCCCUGUCCUCUACGCCGGCAGCAGUGAGCGCGGCACGCUCACCUUGACCUUUGCCUCGACCCGAGCGGCAGCCGCCGCCGCAGCUGCGGCCGCGCCAGCGGCGGCCAUGGGCCCGGUAGGCUUCACCGGCGUGGUUGGCUUGGCACCCUUGCCGCCGCGGGCGUUGUUGAUCGCCGAGCCGACCUGCAUUGCGGAUGGGGCCGCACCGUAUGGAUCCUGGAAAGUUGGGGGGCGUGGCAUAAGGUCAGGGUGUCGGGGUGCUUCAGGCCCACGGCCGCGUGUGCGUGUCACCGUCGGUGAGCGGUGGCAGGCCACAAGACCCGAGCGCCUUCGGCAGCCCCUGAGAGCUGCCCUGCCUCCCUCCCCGAGCGACCUCGAGCGCAUCGUGCGCCCCCUGUCCAAAUGCCCCUGCUCGACCUUGAACCCGGCUUGCCAACCCCGUCAACCACGCCACAACCCCUUUACCGGACCCUGCCCCCUCCCCCUUCCUCAUCUUCCUACACCUCCCCUCCUUCCUCCCCUUCCCCUCCUUCCCCUCCCUCCCCUGCCCAUCAGGCCAUCGCUCACCGACUCCGACAUGGCCUCCCGCCGCUCCACCAGGCGCGCCUUGAGCUCGUUCUGGCGCUCCUGCCACCAGGCAAUGGUCUGGCUGCCCUCGCGGGGCGCCACCGGCGCCGGCUCCUGCAGGCCCAACUCCUGUGGGGGGCAGGGAAGCAAGGGGGGGUGGGGCAGGGGCAACACCGUGUGGAACGGAAACACCCGGACAUGGGUAGCUGUGAGAGGAGAGGACGUAUCCCUUGCACCUGUGCGGUGCACGUAACACCACGUGGUCCCUCCCACCCCUGCUUCACAGUCUCCGUAGCGCUGCCACGCUCCCGCACCACUGGCCCCCACCGGUAUGUGUGUGUAUGUGUGUGUAUGAACACCGCCCCGCUCUCCUAGCCCGGUCCCUUCACGCGCCCGCUGUGCCUCCGCCUGCCCCGCGACCAAUCCGAGACCUAGUCGUCGUGCUGGCGUAAAAGGACGCCCCCUACGCCGGCCCCUUUUCCCUGAUAUCACACAGGUGCGCUAACACAUCCCUCUCCCUCACUCCCUCUCCCUCACGCUCCCCGGCGCUCACCUCCAUCAGCUGCGCCUCCGUGAGUGCGCCCUGGUUCACCUUGAGGAUGGCCUCCUCCUGCGAACAGGCGGCAGGCGGCAGGGGCAGCAGCAACAGCCAGCGAUGAGGGAACCCCAGGACCAGAUUGAUUCUCCUUACUCGUCAAACAAGCUCUCUCUCACCCGUGCCCCUCCCACCACCGCCCCUCCAACUACGGCCCCUCCCACCACCGCUUCUACCACCACCGCCCCUCCCACCGCCGCCCCCUCCCACCGCCGCCCCUUCCCCUCCACCCCGGCACCCAGCUCUCACCAUUGACGCCAGGCCCGCGUCCUUGGCCGCCUGGCCCAGGCUCUUGCCUGCCGCCGUGAGCGCCGUGCUGGUGGCGGCGGCGGCGGUGGACACGGUGGCCUCGAAGCUGCCGCUGAGGCUGUGCUGCAGGCUGGCGGUGCGGCCGGGGGCCGACGUCAGCCAGGGGUGGGCCAGCACCGCGGCGGCGGAGGGACUGCGGGGAAAGGGCGCGGUGGGGGUUAGUGGGAGGGCUUACGAAGGAGUCAAGGGGCGCGGGUGGCAUCGGGAGCACGCAAGGCCGUGCUGAGGUUCCAAGUCACAUACCGUACCAUUGAGGCAGCCCUGUAUGCCUUGGCCUCCAUCCUGCCCUGGGUUCACCCUGCUGUAAUGGAGUGCCCUCCAUGAGCGCCCUCCCUGUCCGCCUCCCCUCCUCCUCCCCCCUCUCCUCCCCCCUCUCCUACGACUUCGCUUCUUAAUUAAUCAUGAAUGUAACCCCCCUCUCCUCCCCCCUCUCCUCCUUCUUCACCUCCUCCUCCACCUCCUCCGCCCCACUCCUCCCCCUCCCCCCUCCCCCCUCCCCCCUCCCCCCUCCCCCUCCCCCUCCUCCUCCCCCUCCUCCUCACCGGUCCGUGGGCUUGUACGCCAGCAGGCGCAUCAGCAGGUCCCAGCCCGCGCCGCCGUCCGCGUCCAGCGCCUCAAAGCCCGCCUCCAGCGACUCGGCCAGCGCCCCCUUGGCGGAGGGCAGCUUGGCCUCCUCCUCGCGACGCCAGGCCGGCAGGUCCCACUUGAGCUCCUGGGGGUUGGCGGGAGAGGCGGGUGGGUGCGGCGGUGGGCGAUGAGGGGAGGGGGAGGGGGAGGGCGCCAGGCGGGAGUUCCCGUGUGCUGGGGAGGGCUGCUUUUUCCCACCCUGCGUUCAUGUGCCGGUGCGCGGAUUCCACACGCACGCUCUUCCGCUGCACCGUCGCCCCCAUCCCAGGCCCCGACCCCAUGUAUCCCCUCUAUCACGCCUCAGACACCCGUUGCACCACCACCAACACCACCUCCCCGCCGG
rnacentral:lncRNA from 1 species